rnacentral:rRNA from 1 species
UACGUAGGGUGCGAGCGUUAAUCGGAAUUACUGGGCGUAAAGCGUGCGCAGGCGGUUUUGUAAGCCAGAUGUGAAAUCCCCGGGCUUAACCUGGGAAUGGCAUUUGGGACUGCAAGGCUGGAGUGCGGCAGAGGAGACUGGAAUUCCUGGUGUAGCAGUGAAAUGCGUAGAUAUCGGGAGGAACACCAGUGGCGAAGGCGGCUUCCUGGCCUGUUCUUGACGCUGAGGCGCGAAAGCUAGGGGAGCAAACGGG